rnacentral:snoRNA from 1 species
UCCAUAUGAUGACUUGCUUUUGGUCCGUGUUUAUGAAGUCCAAAUGAUUUUAUUCAAAAGCUCUGAUAUU